ACGCGAAAACUUUACAAUGCUGGCAACAGCGAUAAGGGAACCUCGAGUGCCAGGUUACAAAUCUGGCUGUCGAGAUGCCUAAAAAGCAUUUCAUAGCAAGGGCCGGGCAAGACCGGUGCCAGCCGCCGCGGUAACACCGGCGGCUCGAGUGGUAACCGUUAUUAUUGGGUCUAAAGGGUCUGUAGCCGGCCGGAUAAGUCUCUUGAGAAAUCUGGCAGCUUAACUGUCAGGCUUUCAGGAGAUACUGUCUGGCUCGAGGCCGGGAGAGGUGAGAGGUACUUCAGGGGUAGGGGUGAAAUCUUGUAAUCCUUGAAGGAUCACCAGAGGCGAAGGCGUCUCACCAGAACGGACCUGACGGCAAGGGACGAAAGCUAGGGGCACGAACCG
rnacentral:rRNA from 1 species